UGCUUCUAGUAAAUAGCCGCAGUAUUUUGACUGUGCUAAGGUAGCAUAAUCAUUAGUCUUUUAAUUGAAGGCUGGUAUGAAUGGCGAGACGAGAAAAUAACUGUCUCUAGUGGAAUUAUUGAAUUUCAUUUCUAAGUGAAAAAGCUUAGAUUAUUUUGGAGGACGAUCAGACCCUUUGGAGCUUUAUCUAAUUUAUUUAUUGAGUUUAUUUAAAAUAAUUAACCUAUUUGUUAGAUUUUGUUGGGGCGACAGAGAGUAAAAAAUAUCACUCUUUUUAAGAAACUAAUAUACUUGAAGUAUUGAUCCUUAAAGUGAGAUUAAAAGACUAAGUUACCCUAGGGAUAACAGCGUAAUCUUUUUAGAGAGUUCAUAUCGAUAAAAAGGUUUGCGACCUCGAUGUUGGAUUAAGAAGUUAGCAAGGUGCAGAAGUUUUGCUGGAGAGUCUGUUCGACUUUUAAACUCUUACAU
rnacentral:rRNA from 1 species